CAAAGCAGAGCUGAACCUUGAAGCGGACUAGACGUAUGUUGCACGGGCUCCCAUCUAUACUGAUGAUUUUUGGAGAAAAUCCCCACGCACCGAGUUGACAUACUCACAGUGGUGCACUCUCUAUGUUGGGGUGCACUGGUGAACUUAAAAAAAUACCUCACCAGGGACUUUAAGCCUCCGGAAGCCCAUAGAGAAUCGUUGAGGCCUGCAGGUGACAGAGCUGGGCAGAGG